rnacentral:rRNA from 1 species
CGUCAGAUAGGAUAAGUCCAAUGCAAGUGUAAGUAUAAGAAGUACUCCGAGACUUGCGAAUGAGCUCAUUAUAUCAGUUAUAGUUAUUUUGAUAGUCCCUUACUACUUGGAUAACCGUAGUAUUCUAGAGCUAAUACAUGCGUCAAGAAUCCGACUUCGGGGGAAGGAUUUGUUAUUUUUAUUUAGGUUAACAAAAACCAACCCCCUUCUUCUUCGGGGGAGGGUUCCUUUGGGGGUGGAAGUUCAUGAAUAAGGCAAUGGCGGGAAUCCGCCAAGGGCCUUUUACCGCCCGGGCCGACGGGAUUCAUGUUAAGGUUCCUUGCCCCUUAUCAGCCUUUCGGGAUGGUAAAGGGUAAUUGGGCCUUAACCAAUGGGCAAUUUAAACGGGUUAACCGGGAGGAAUCAAGGGGGUUUGGACUCUCGGAAGAAGGGGAGCCUUGAAGAGGACCGGGCUUAACCACACAUCUUCAAAGGAAAAGGCAGCCAAGGGCGCCGUUAAA